AAGUGAGGGUUAAUAUAAUUUUUCUACUCCUAAUAUUGGUUUUUAUUUAGAAGAAUCAUAAACUACCGAAGUUUAAAGAGACUAUGCUUUUAGAUUCUAAGCCCAAUGAUUUGGGCAUAUAGUAAUGGGUAAAUCUUUUAUGAUUGGCACUGCAUACAUUAACGAAUUGGUAUGCAUGCUACAUAUACAAAAUUAAUUUGCAGAUCUAAAUUCAGAUGAUGUGAGAUUUAUCUAACUUCAUUUAUACACUGACAGUAUAGAAAAGUUAAUCCAUAUUAAUAGGAUAAAUCUUUUCUGUAUCGACACUGUAUACAUUAGUGGAUUUAGAUGCAUGCCACACACAUAAAAUCUCAGGGGUACCAAGUUAUAUUUCUAAAACCACAGGGGGCCAAGUGAUGUUAAGAGAAACUUCAAAGGAGGUUUCUAAUAUUAUUCCAACACAUAUUCAGUAGGCAAAAGAUACUAUUUCAAUUAUUUAGGUGGCAACGAGUUUUUUUUUGGCCUUAUCACUGCAUGUGAUACUCGUGUACAAGGACAAAACUAGGGGAUUAGGGCUGAAGUUUUAUAGAAUUCAAUUUUCCUCCCUUACAAAAUUACAUAUUGUCAAAUCAAAUAAUCUUGCUCCCGAAAAAACCUAAAGAUAUUUAUAUUAUA
rnacentral:lncRNA from 1 species